rnacentral:rRNA from 1 species
GAGAUGUUGGGUAAGUCCCGCAACGAGCGCAACCCCCUGUGAUUUGUUGCCACCGGCGCAAGCCGAGCACUCGAAUCAGACUGCCCAGAUCAACUGGGAGGAAGGUGGGGACGACGUCAAGUCAGUAUGGCCCUUACGCCCAGGGCUGCACACGUACUACAAUGCCCAGCACAAUGUGAACCGAAACCGCGAGGUGGAGGAAAUCUAGAAAACUGGGCUCAGUUCAGAUUGCAGGCUGCAACUCGCCUGCAUGAAGUCGGAAUCGCUAGUAAUGGCGCAUCAGCUACGGCGCCGUGAAUACGUUCCCGGGUCUUGUACACACCGCCCGUCACAUCAUGGAAGCUGGUUUCGCCCGAAGUGCCCGCGCCAACCGCAAGGAGGCAAGGCCCUAAGGCAAGACUGGUAACUGGGAUGAAGUCGUAACAAGGUAGCCG